UACGAAGGGUGCAAGCGUUAAUCGGAAUUACUGGGCGUAAAGCGUACGCAGGCGGCUUUGCAAGACAGGUGUGAAAUCCCCGGGCCUAACCUGGGAACUGCAUUUGUGACUGCAUGGCUAGAGUUUGUCAGAGGGGGGUGGAAUUCCACGUGUAGCAGUGAAAUGCGUAGAUAUGUGGAGGAACACCGAUGGCGAAGGCAGCCCCCUGGGAUGUGACUGACGCUCAUGUACGAAAGCGUGGGGAGCAAACAGG
rnacentral:rRNA from 1 species